rnacentral:rRNA from 1 species
UACGGAGGGGGCUAGCGUUGUUCGGAAUUACUGGGCGUAAAGCGCACGUAGGCGGCUUUGUAAGUUAGAGGUGAAAGCCCGGGGCUCAACUCCGGAAUUGCCUUUAAGACUGCAUCGCUAGAAUUGUGGAGAGGUAAGUGGAAUUCCGAGUGUAGAGGUGAAAUUCGUAGAUAUUCGGAAGAACACCAGUGGCGAAGGCGACUUACUGGACACAUAUUGACGCUGAGGUGCGAAAAGCGUGGGGGAGCAAACAGGAUUAGAAAACCCG